AUACGUAGGGGGCAAGCGUUACCCGGAAUUACUGGGCGUAAAGGGGGCGUAGGCGGUAAAAGAAGUCAUCUGUGAAAACCUAUUGCUCAACGAUAGGCUAGCGGAUGAAACUGAAUUACUUGAGGGCACCAGAGGUAGACGGAAUUACCCGUGUAGGGGUGAAAUCCGCAGAUACGGGUAGGAACGCCGGUGGAGAAGUCGGUCUACUGGGGUGCACCAGACGCUGAGGCCCGAAAGCUAGGGGAGCAAACCGGAUUAGAUACCCGGGUAGUCCUAGCCGUAAACGAUGCUCACUAGGUGUAGGGAGUGAUAAACUCUCUGUGUUGAAGCUAACGCAUUAAGUUGUCCGCCUGGGGAGUACGGUCGCAAGACUGAAACUUAAAGGAAUUGACGGGG
rnacentral:rRNA from 1 species